rfam:Aedes albopictus isolate Foshan contig58674, whole genome shotgun sequence.
UGCCCAGCAGCUCCUAUCCCUACCUCCUUGCGGUACCGGCCGGAAACUAUGAGCAACCUUAGGGAAGAUCGGGUACCCAACCCCGGUGGGAACUUUGGUCGUAGGCUGACAGGGAAGG